rnacentral:rRNA from 1 species
AUGAAAAAGAUUCAGCAAAAGACAGAAACAAAUCCAUUGUUGGUUUUACGUCAAGCAAAACGUGGAGUAACGCCCAAUAUAGGAGUAAAAACAAGACGUAAUAAAAAAGGAUCGACGCAGAAAGUUCCAAUUGAAAUAGGAUCCAAACAAGGAAGAGCACUUGCCAUUCGUUGGCUAUUAGAAGCAUUCCAAAAGCGUCCAGGUCGAAAUAUGGCUUUCAAAUUAAAUUCCAAAUUAGUAGAUGCUGCCAAAGGGAGUGGGGUUCCAUACGCAAAAAGGAAGCGACUCAUAGAAUGGCAGAGGCAAAUAGAGCUCUUGCACAAUUUCAUUAAUCCAUGA